UACAGAGGUCUCAAGCGUUGUUCGGAUUCAUUGGGCGUAAAGGGUGCGUAGGCGGCGCGGUAAGUCGGGUGUGAAAUCUUGGAGCUUGACUCCGAAACUGCAUUCGAUACUGCCGUGCUUGAGGACUGGAGAGGAGACUGGAAUUUACGGUGUAGCGGUGAAAUGCGUAGAUAUCGUAAGGAAGACCAGUGGCGAAGGCGGGUCUCUGGACAGUUCCUGACGCUGAGGCACGAAGGCCAGGGGAGCAAACGGG
rnacentral:rRNA from 1 species